UGGGGAAUUUUGGACAAUGGGCGAAAGCCUGAUCCAGCAAUGCCGCGUGUGUGAAGAAGGCCUUCGGGUUGUAAAGCACUUUUGUCCGGAAAGAAAUCCUUGGCUCUAAUACAGUCGGGGGAUGACGGUACCGGAAGAAUAAGCACCGGCUAACUACGUGCCAGCAGCCGCGGUAAUACGUAGGGUGCAAGCGUUAAUCGGAAUUACUGGGCGUAAAGCGUGCGCAGGCGGUUUGCUAAGACCGAUGUGAAAUCCCCGGGCUCAACCUGGGAACUGCAUUGGUGACUGGCAGGCUAGAGUAUGACAGAGGGGGGUAGAAUUCCACGUGUAGCAGUGAAAUGCGUAGAGAUGUGGAGGAAUACCGAUGGCGAAGGCAGCCCCCUGGGCCAAUACUGACGCUCAUGCACGAAAGCGUGGGGAGCAAAACAGGAUUAGAUACCCUGGUAGUCCACGCCCUAAAACGAUGUCAACUAGUUGUUGGGGAUUCAUUUCCUUAGUAACGUAGCUAACGCGUGAAGUUGACCGCCUGGGGAGUACGGUCGCAAAGAUUAAAAACUCAAAGGAAUUGACGGGGUCAUAGCUGUUUCCU
rnacentral:rRNA from 1 species